rnacentral:sRNA from 1 species
ACUGGAACCCGGGGGAAGAUGGCGGCAGCCGUUCUGAGUGGGCCCUCUGCGGGCUCCGCGGCUGGGGUUCCUGGCGGGACCGGGGGUCUCUCGGCAGUGAGCUCGGGCCCGCGGCUCCGCCUGCUGCUGCUGGAGAGUGUUUCUGGUUUGCUGCAACCUCGAACGGGGUCUGCCGUUGCUCCGGUGCAUCCCCCAAACCGCUCGGCCCCACAUUUGCCCGGGCUCAUGUGCCUAUUGCGGCUGCAUGGGUCGGUGGGCGGGGCCCAGAACCUUUCAGCUCUUGGGGCAUUGGUGAGUCUCAGUAAUGCACGUCUCAGUUCCAUCAAAACUCGGUUUGAGGGCCUGUGUCUGCUGUCCCUGCUGGUAGGGGAGAGCCCCACAGAGCUAUUCCAGCAGCACUGUGUGUCUUGGCUUCGGAGCAUUCAGCAGGUGUUACAGGUAGUGGCUUGGAUGGUCAGACUGACAUUAACCGUGGCAUUUCUCA